ACGGGGUGCAGCAGGCGCGAAAACUCCGCAAUGCACGAAAGUGUGACGGGGCUACCCCGAGUGCUCUCCGCUGAGGAAAGCUUUUCCUUGGUAUAACUAGCCAGGGGAAUAAGGAGAGGGCAAGUCUGGUGUCAGCCGCCGCGGUAAUACCAGCUCUUCGAGUGGUGUGGAUGUUUAUUGGGCCUAAAGCAUCCGUAGCUGGCUAAGUUAGUCCCCUGUUAAAUCCACCGAAUUAAUCGUUGGAUUGCGGGGGAUACUGCUUGGCUAGGGGACGAGAGAGGCAGACGGUAUUUUCGGGGUAGGGGUGAAAUCCUAUAAUCCCGGGAAGACCACCAGUGGCGAAGGCUGUCUGCUAGAACGCGCCCGACGGUGAGGGAUGAAAGCUGGGGUAGCGAACCGGAUUAGAUACCCGGGUAGUCCCAGCCGUAAACGAUGCAGGCUAGGUGUUGGGGCGGCCACGUGCCGCUCUAGUGCCGCAGGGAAGCUGUUAAGCCUGCCGCCUGGGGAGUACGAUCGCAAGAUUGAAACUUAAAGGAAUUGGCGGGGGAGCAC
rnacentral:rRNA from 1 species